CGCUUCCACGACACCACCAUAAUGUCACCGCCACUCUCGACAAUGUUUUAUUCUGAGAAGCAGCUUUUUCUUUCACUCAGCCUGCACUCCCAGGAGUCCCCCAGCCUCACUGUGACUUUGCAACCCGUAAAGCAGAAUCUACCCGGCUGAUAGCGGUGAUGGAGAACCGGGAGAAGCGAGACAGCCGAUACGACUUCAAAGGCUCUCAAAAGUGCACAACGUGGGCAUCACGCGGCGUAAUUAGCAGAGCUUCUCAUUGGAGACUGGCCAGCUGACUUUGUACAUGGCGGCGCCUGGUGAGUCUUUGUGUGAAAACCUUCCUCGCAAAGAGAACCAGACACACUGUGUUGUCGUCGUUGUUCGAGUGAGACCAGAUCUACUACAGCCGCAGUUAUUGCAGCCAGAUGAGGAUGGAUCUUCUAUUUAAAUAGCGGUUGGAGAGAGUCGGACUGAGUCACGGGUCCCGUCUGCCACUGUGGGAGCGUCAGGAGAAGUCCCCCUCUGCUGGAUCCUAUUUGGCCGAUCACCUGACAGGAGCCAGACGGGUCACCGGUGGGAGCUGAAUCAGAUCAGACGCGGCGGGCCACGUCUAGACGAGGAG
ensembl:lncRNA